rnacentral:rRNA from 1 species
CGAAGGUGUUUUGGCGGAUUGAGAGAAGAUUUUCAGCCUGAUACAGAUUAAAUCAGAACGCAGAAGCGGUCUGAUAAAACAGAAUUUGCCUGGCGGCCGUAGCGCGGUGGUCCCACCUGACCCCAUGCCGAACUCAGAAGUGAAACGCCGUAGCGCCGAUGGUAGUGUGGGGUCUCCCCAUGCGAGAGUAGGGAACUGCCAGGCAUCAAAUUAAGCAGUAAGCCGGUCAUAAAACCGGUGGUUGUAAAAGAAUUCGGUGGAGCGGUAGUUCAGUCGGUUAGAAUACCUGCCUGUCACGCAGGGGGUCGCGGGUUCGAGUCCCGUCCGUUCCGCCACUUAUUAAGAAGCCUCGAGUUAACGCUCGAGGUUUUUUUUCGUCUGUAUAUCUAUUAUUGCCAGAAUCGCAAAAAUCCUCUGCAUUUUACGCUCUUUUUCCUCAACAGUCUGAAGCCCAUAAUCACCUCAGUUAACGAAAAUAGCAUUAAAAGAGGCAUAUUAUGGCUAUCCCUGCAUUUGGUUUAGGUACUUUCCGUCUGAAAGACGACGUUGUUAUUUCAUCUGUGAAAACGGCGCUUGAACUUGGUUAUCGCGCAAUUGAUACUGCACAAAUCUAUGAUAACGAAGCCGCAGUAGGUCAGGCGAUUGCAGAAAGUGGCGUGCCACGUCAUGAACUCUACAUCACCACUAAAAUCUGGAUUGAAAAUCUCAGCAAAGACAAAUUGAUCCCGAGUCUGAAAGAGAGCCUGCAAAAAUUGCGUACUGAUUAUGUUGAUGAAGCAACAAAUGCCCUGCUUCCAGGAAAAGCCUCUAAGCAUCAGGUAACAUCAAAUCGUACCCCAAACCGACACAGGUGGUCAGGUAGAGAAUACCAAGGCGCUUGAGAGAACUCGGGUGAAGGAACUAGGCAAAAUGGUGCCGUAACUUCGGGAGAAGGCACGCUGAUAUGUAGGUGAAGUCCCUUGCGGAUGGAGCUGAAAUCAGUCGAAGAUACCAGCUGGCUGCAACUGUUUAUUAAAAACACAGCACUGUGCAAACACGAAAGUGGACGUAUACGGUGUGACGCCUGCCCGGUGCCGGAAGGUUAAUUGAUGGGGUUAGCGCAAGCGAAGCUCUUGAUCGAAGCCCCGGUAAACGGCGGCCGUAACUAUAACGGUCCUAAGGUAGCGAAAUUCCUUGUCGGGUAAGUUCCGACCUGCACGAAUGGCGUAAUGAUGGCCAGGCUGUCUCCACCCGAGACUCAGUGAAAUUGAACUCGCUGUGAAGAUGCAGUGUACCCGCGGCAAGACGGAAAGACCCCGUGAACCUUUACUAUAGCUUGACACUGAACAUUGAGCCUUGAUGUGUAGGAUAGGUGGGAGGCUUAGAAGUGUGGACGCCAGUCUGCAUGGAGCCGACCUUGAAAUACCACCCUUUAAUGUUUGAUGUUCUAACGUUGACCCGUAAUCCGGGUUGCGGACAGUGUCUGGUGGGUAGUUUGACUGGGGCGGUCUCCUCCUAAAGAGUAACGGAGGAGCACGAAGGUUGGCUAAUCCUGGUCGGACAUCAGGAGGUUAGUGCAAUGGCAUAAGCCAGCUUGACUGCGAGCGUGACGGCGCGAGCAGGUGCGAAAGCAGGUCAUAGUGAUCCGGUGGUUCUGAAUGGAAGGGCCAUCGCUCAACGGAUAAAAGGUACUCCGGGGAUAACAGGCUGAUACCGCCCAAGAGUUCAUAUCGACGGCGGUGUUUGGCACCUCGAUGUCGGCUCAUCACAUCCUGGGGCUGAAGUAGGUCCCAAGGGUAUGGCUGUUCGCCAUUUAAAGUGGUACGCGAGCUGGGUUUAGAACGUCGUGAGACAGUUCGGUCCCUAUCUGCCGUGGGCGCUGGAGAACUGAGGGGGGCUGCUCCUAGUACGAGAGGACCGGAGUGGACGCAUCACUGGUGUUCGGGUUGUCAUGCCAAUGGCACUGCCCGGUAGCUAAAUGCGGAAGAGAUAAGUGCUGAAAGCAUCUAAGCACGAAACUUGCCCCGAGAUGAGUUCUCCCUGACUCCUUGAGAGUCCUGAAGGAACGUUGAAGACGACGACGUUGAUAGGCCGGGUGUGUAAGCGCAGCGAUGCGUUGAGCUAACCGGUACUAAUGAACCGUGAGGCUUAACCUU